GAUGAAGAACGUAGCGAAGUGCGAUAUGUAGUGUGAAUUGCAGAAUUCCGUGAAUCAUCGAAUUUUUGAACGCAAAUUGCACUCUCCUCGGAGAGUAUGCCUGUUUGAGGGUCAGCCUAAAAAAAAAAUCGACAUCGUUGCUGUUCUGCGGUGACGUUGGUCGGAAAUUGGGUCAUCUUAAACUUUUAGGUUUAAGCGACUUAAAAUUUUCCUUUACGAUUCCAUGAACGUUUCUAAGAUUUAUUUCUUACACGUUUUUUAAGGUAUCGAUCUUAUUAGACGUGGCCGUCACAUCGGAUCGCGUCCAUAAUCUUUCAUUAACUGACCUCAGACAGGUAAGAGUACCCGCUGAACUUAAGCAUAUCAAUAAGCGGAGGA
rnacentral:misc_RNA from 1 species